rnacentral:rRNA from 1 species
UGGGGAAUUUUGCACAAUGGGGGAAACCCUGAUGCAGCGACGCCGCGUGAUUUAGAAGGCCUUCGGGUUGUAAAAAUCUUUUCUAUGGGAAGAAAAUGACAGUACCAUAGGAAUAAGGACCGGCUAACUACGUGCCAGCAGCCGCGGUAAUACGUAGGGCGCGAGCGUUGUCCGGAAUUAUUGGGCGUAAAGGGCUUGUAGGCGGCUUGUUGCGCCUGCUGUGAAAACGCGGGGCUUAACUUCGCGCGUGCAGUGGGUACGGGCAGGCUUGAGUGUGGUAGGGGUGACUGGAAUUCCAGGUGUAGCGGUGGAAUGCGCAGAUAUCUGGAGGAACACCGAUGGCGAAGGCAGGUCACUGGGCCAUUACUGACGCUGAGGAGCGAAAGCAUGGGUAGCGAACAGG